AGCUGCAUCAUGCACACAAUAUUGCAGUGCGGCGUGAUCGAGUUUCACCAAAAUUGAUAGAGACAAUAUCGUAUUUGAUUGAUAAAAUAAUGUAAUUGAUUUGUAACAACGUCUAUCUUCUGGAGAGGAAAGCAUCUGUCGAUUUUGUCUUAAAUGCAUUGAGGAGCGUGAUGAAGAGGACACCACUGUGCAGAUGAAUGCUGGAGGUUGAUGAUCAGUGUUUGCAGUGAAUCACAAUCCGUCCAUCUGCUGUCUGGACCUCCCUGCUCUGAUUAGGACAACCCGUCCUGUGCUGCACUUGAACGGUUGCUAAAACAUCUGCAGUGAGCCACAAUCAGUUCAACUCUUCUCUGACCACCCUGCCCUGAUCUGAACAACCCGUCCAGUACUGCACUCCAACGGUUACUAAAACAUCUGCAGCGAGCCACAAUCAGUUCAACUCUCCUCUGACCACCCUGCCCUGAUCUGAACAACCCGUCCAGUACCGCACUCCAACGGUUGCUAAAACAUCUGCAGUGAGCCACAAUCAGUUCAACUCUUCUCUGACCACCCUACCCUGAUCUGAACAACCCGUCCUGUGCUGCACUUGAACGGUUGCUAAAACAUCUGCAGCGAGCCACAAUCAGUUCAACUCUCCUCUGACCACCCUGCCCUGAUCUGAACAACCCGUCCUGUGCUGCACUCCAACGGUUGCUAAAACAUCUGCAGCGAGCCACAAUCAGUUCAACUCUCCUCUGACCACCCUGCCCUGAUCUGAACAACCCGUCCUGUGCUGCACUCCAACGGUUGCUAAAACAUCUGCAGCGAGCCACAAUCAGUUCAACUCUCCUCUGACCACCCUACUCUGAUUUGAACAACCAGUCCAGUACUGCAUUCCAAAGGUUACUAAAAUAUCUGCAGCGAGGCACAAUCAGUUCCAGCUCAUCUCUGGACCUCCCUGCUCUGUCAGGGAUUUGUUGGAGUAUGAUAGCAGGUGCUCCAUUACAUCCCGCUCUGGAGACGAAUGCGUGAAAACAAUCCAUGCUGUCGAUGAACCUUCGUCUUUGUCUAGCUCCUCACAAAACCCUUCAGCCUUGAGAUAUCUAGAGUUCAUCGGGUUCUCCAUAUCUGUGGUGUUGGUUAUGGUUAUUAGUUGAACACAAAGACAGAAACUUAAUUUUCUUUUUUUCUUCAGAAUUGAAUUGAAUCAUCAAUUGGUAUUACUAUAAGAGAGACAAAUUAUACUGCCCCUGUUGUGCAUAAUCUGUGCUAACGGUACAAAAUCAUCUUUCUGUAUCCCUUUUCCCCCUCUGUUUUUUCUCCCUUGCUCUUUCCUUCUCUUCUCUCUCUGUCUCCCUCCCCCUCUCAUCCUCCCCUUCUCUAUCU